rnacentral:tRNA from 1 species
GAGGGUGUAGCUUAGUGGUAGAGUGCAUGCUUAGCAUGCAUGAGGUCCUGGGUUCAAUCUCCAGUAUCUCCA